AUACGUAGGGUGCAAGCGUUAAUCGGAAUUACUGGGCGUAAAGCGUGCGCAGGCGGUUUUGUAAGACCGAGGUGAAAUCCCCGGGCUCAACCUGGGAACUGCCUUUGUGACUGCAAGGCUAGAGUACGGCAGAGGGGGAUGGAAUUCCGCGUGGAGUAGUGAAAAGCGUAGAUAUUCGGAGGAACACCGAUGGCGAAGGCAAUCCCCUGGGCCUGUAAUGACGCUCAUGCACGAAGGCGUGGGGAGCAAACAGGAGUAGAUACCCUGGUAGUCCACGCCCUAAACGAUGUCAACUGGUUGUUGGGUCUUCAUAGACUCAGUAACGAAGCUAACGCGUGAAGUUGACCGCCUGGGGAGUACGGCCGCAAGGUUGAAACUCAAAGGAAUUGACGGGG
rnacentral:rRNA from 1 species